rnacentral:rRNA from 1 species
UGGCGGCGUGCUUAACACAUGCAAGUCGAACGGUGAAGCCCAGCUUGCUGGGUGGAUCAGUGGCGAACGGGUGAGUAACACGUGAGCAACCUGCCCUCCACUUCGGGAUAAGCCUUGGAAACGGGGUCUAAUACCGGAUAUGAGCAUCUGCCGCAUGGUGGGUGUUGGAAAGUUUUUCGGUGGGGGAUGGGCUCGCGGCCUAUCAGCUUGUUGGUGGGGUGAUGGCCUACCAAGGCGUCGACGGGUAGCCGGCCUGAGAGGGCGACCGGCCACACUGGGACUGAGACACGGCCCAGACUCCUACGGGAGGCAGCAGUGGGGAAUAUUGCACAAUGGGCGAAAGCCUGAUGCAGCGACGCCGCGUGAGGGAUGACGGCCUUCGGGUUGUAAACCUCUUUCAGCAGGGAAGAAGGCCUUCGGGUGGACGGUACCUGCAGAAGAAGCGCCGGCUAACUACGUGCCAGCAGCCGCGGUAAUACGUAGGGCGCAAGCGUUGUCCGGAAUUAUUGGGCGUAAAGAGCUCGUAGGCGGUCUGUCGCGUCUGGUGUGAAAACCCGAGGCUCAACCUCGGGCUUGCAUCGGGUACGGGCAGACUAGAGUGCGGUAGGGGAGACUGGAAUUCCUGGUGUAGCGGUGGAAUGCGCAGAUAUCAGGAGGAACACCGAUGGCGAAGGCAGGUCUCUGGGCCGCAACUGACGCUGAGGAGCGAAAGCAUGGGGAGCGAACAGGAUUAGAUACCCUGGUAGUCCAUGCCGUAAACGUUGGGCACUAGGUGUGGGGCUCAUUCCACGAGUUCCGUGCCGCAGCUAACGC